rnacentral:misc_RNA from 1 species
AACGCACAUUGCGCCCGCUGGUACUCCGGCGGGCACGCCUGUCCGAGCGUCAUUUCAACCCUCAGGCCCCGCCUUCACAGGCGCGGGACUGGUGUUGGGGCCCGGCCGCCCUCACCGGCGGCCGUCCCCUAAAUGCAGUGGCGGUCACGCCGCAAUCCCUUGCGUAGUAAUCUAACCUCGCACUGGAAAGCGACGCGGUCCACGCCGUAAAACCCCCAAUUUUCAAUGGUUGACCUCGGAUCAGGUGGGAAUACCCGCUGAACUUAA